GGGCCGCUAGCUCAGUUGGUAGAGCAAGAGACUCUUAAUCUUUUGGUCCAGGGUUCGAGUCCCUGGCGGCUCACCA
rnacentral:tRNA from 1 species